rnacentral:rRNA from 1 species
GACGAACGCUGGCGGCGUGCUUAACACAUGCAAGUCGAACGGAAAGGCCCUGCUUUUGUGGGGUGCUCGAGUGGCGAACGGGUGAGUAACACGUGAGUAACCUGCCCUUGACUUUGGGAUAACUUCAGGAAACUGGGGCUAAUACCGGAUAGGAGCUCCUGCUGCAUGGUGGGGGUUGGAAAGUUUCGGCGGUUGGGGAUGGACUCGCGGCUUAUCAGCUUGUUGGUGGGGUAGUGGCUUACCAAGGCUUUGACGGGUAGCCGGCCUGAGAGGGUGACCGGCCACAUUGGGACUGAGAUACGGCCCAGACUCCUACGGGAGGCAGCAGUGGGGAAUAUUGCACAAUGGGCGGAAGCCUGAUGCAGCAACGCCGCGUGCGGGAUGACGGCCUUCGGGUUGUAAACCGCUUUCGCCUGUGACGAAGCGUGAGUGACGGUAAUGGGUAAAGAAGCACCGGCUAACUACGUGCCAGCAGCCGCGGUGAUACGUAGGGUGCGAGCGUUGUCCGGAUUUAUUGGGCGUAAAGGGCUCGUAGGUGGUUGAUCGCGUCGGAAGUGUAAUCUUGGGGCUUAACCCUGAGCGUGCUUUCGAUACGGGUUGACUUGAGGAAGGUAGGGGAGAAUGGAAUUCCUGGUGGAGCGGUGGAAUGCGCAGAUAUCAGGAGGAACACCAGUGGCGAAGGCGGUUCUCUGGGCCUUUCCUGACGCUGAGGAGCGAAAGCGUGGGGAGCGAACAGGCUUAGAUACCCUGGUAGUCCACGCUGUAAACGGUGGGUACUAGGUGUGGGGUCCAUUCCACGGGUUCCGUGCCGUAGCUAACGCUUUAAGUACCCCGCCUGGGGAGUACGGCCGCAAGGCUAAAACUCAAAGGAAUUGACGGGGCCCGCACAAGCGGCGGAGCAUGCGGAUUAAUUCGAUGCAACGCGUAGAACCUUACCUGGGUUUGACAUGGAUCGGGAGUGCUCAGAGAUGGGUGUGCCUCUUUUGGGGUCGGUUCACAGGUGGUGCAUGGCUGUCGUCAGCUCGUGUCGUGAGAUGUUGGGUUAAGUCCCGCAACGAGCGCAACCCUUGUUCACUGUUGCCAGCACGUUAUGGUGGGGACUCAGUGGAGACCGCCGGGGUCAACUCGGAGGAAGGUGGGGAUGACGUCAAGUCAUCAUGCCCCUUAUGUCCAGGGCUUCACGCAUGCUACAAUGGCUGGUACAGAGAGUGGCGAGCCUGUGAGGGUGAGCGAAUCUCGGAAAGCCGGUCUCAGUUCGGAUUGGGGUCUGCAACUCGACCUCAUGAAGUCGGAGUCGCUAGUAAUCGCAGAUCAGCAACGCUGCGGUGAAUAAAUUCCCGGG